AGCGCAACAUGAUCGCUGGGGUACGCAGUGACGGUGACUCAAUGGGGUAACGGAUGCCGUUUUUCUCGAAAGAUGGCGAGGGUCCACUGACACCAGGCUAGCCUUGCCGUCAAGAAAAGGCGCGCGCUGCAUCCGGUGACGAUUCGGGUGCCGAGGCUUCCACAGGCACCCGCAGCGGCGCUGGAUGAGACGUUGCUGCCGCGCACACCCAGCAGGGACAGAACGACGUUGCGGUGCUCUAGUGCCGCUUGUGUAGAUGUCAGCCCGAGGUCUUGAACCUGCGAGAGAGAGAGAGGUGAGGCCAAGACGAUCGCCUGGACACAGAACGACACGCUGGAGGAGGUGGUCGACUUGGAGGCAGCGUGGACGCUGAGCACGCUCCUCAGCCUCUUUGCUGGACUCAGAGAGAGAGCGGUCCAGCUGCGCAGACGGUGCUGAGGCACUCGCCACCGCGUGGGUCUAGAACGCAGUGCCCGCGUGAUUUCGUCGGACAUGCGGAACGUUCUUCCUCCAAAAUAGCCUCUGGAAGUGGAGGCUUGGGCAUUCCACAAGAGCUAUUUUCUUGAUCGAACCUUGCGAGACACAAAUCCGAGCCGAGAAACCCCCCACGAGCUACCCAGCGCUCACGGAUACAAUGCAUCCGCGGCGCGUCUGCGGCAGUACCAGCACCACCGCUGCCGCCUCAAGCUCGUAGCGCUCGAGCGAUAUCCGAAUCCGCUCAUGUUGCUGCGCGAUCCCGAAACAAGUCAUCUUGAAGCCUUGCAUCUGCGCUUCAGAGACAAAGACGGAUCAGCCGUUCCAUGUUGCACACGGAGUAUACUGCCUGUUAACCAUAGCCCAAGGUCUUUGUCGAAAUCGACGCCAUGGUUCAAGAGAUACCAGAAACCUGAUGCUUGACUUGGGCCGCUACCGCAACCUCCACCAGCGCGAGCUGCCCAAGACCAAAGAGCCGUCCUGCUCUCUGCUUGUCACUAUGCCCAAGUGCAUGCCGCCUUUCUUCACGAAUCGGGACUGUUGCUAUCACGAAUUCCGUUCCAGCCUGCAUAAUCGCCCCAGCUCCAUAAACGAUAGAAACGCAUCCGGAAA